rnacentral:rRNA from 1 species
AUCAUGGCUCAGGACGAACGCUGGCGGCGUGCUUAACACAUGCAAGUCGAACGAAGGGCGAUGGAAGCUUGCUUCUAUCAAUCUUAGUGGCGAACGGGUGAGUAACGCGUAAUCAACCUGCCCUUCAGAGGGGGACAACAGUUGGAAACGACUGCUAAUACCGCAUACGAUCUAACCUCGGCAUCGAGGAUGGAUGAAAGGUGGCCUCUAUUUAUAAGCUAUCACUGAAGGAGGGG